AGAAAUUUUCUAUUUUGUGAUCAGUAAUGAUCUCUAGUUCUUCUUUGGUCAUAAAGACCUUCCCCUUCCACAGGUCUGAGAGGUAAACUAUCCUGUGUUCCUCUAAUUUAUUAAUAAUUUCAUUCUUUAUGCCUAGGUCAUGAACCCAUUUUGACCUUAUCUUGGUGUACGGUGUUAAUUAUGGAUCAAUGCCUAGUUUCUGCCAUAUUAGUUUCCAAUUUUCCCAGCAAUUUUUAUCAAACAGUAAGUUCUUAUCCCAAAAGCUGGGAUCUUUGGGUUUGUCAAAGACUAGGUUGCUAUAUUUGUUGACUGUUUUAUCCCUUGAACCUAAUCUAUUCCACUGAUCAACUAAUCUAUUCCUUAGCCAGUACCAAAUACUUUUGGUAACUGCUGCUCUAUAAUAUAAUUUUAGAUCUGGUACAGCUAAGCCACCUUCAUUUGAUUUUUUUUUCAUUAAAUCCCUUGAAAUUCUUGACCUUUUGUUUGUUAUUUUUUCUAGGUCAUUAAAAUAGUUUUUUGGGAGAAUGAUUGGUAGAGUGCUAAACAAAUAGAUUAGUUUAGGUAGUAUUGUCAUCUUUAUUAUAUUUGCCUGCCCUAUCCAAGAGCAUUUAAUAUUUUUCCAAUUUGUUAGAUUAGACUUAAUUUGUGUGAAAAGUGGUUUGUAAUUUUGCUCAUAAAGUUUCUGAUUUUCCCUUGGCAGAUAGAUUCCUAAGUAUUUUAUACUAUCAGUAGUUACUUUAAAUGGAAUUUCUCUUUGUAACUCUGACUGUUGGAUUUUGUUAGUGACAUAUAAGAAUGCUGAUGACUUAUGUGGGUUUAUUUUAUAACCAGCAACUUUGCUAAAGUUGUGGAUUAUUUCUAACAACUUUUUAGCAGAAUCUCUGGGGUUCUCUAAGUAUACCAUCAUGUCAUCGGCAAAAAGUGAUAAUUUGGUUUCAUCAUUGCCUAUUCUUAUUCCUUUAAUCUCUUUCUCAGCUCUUAUUGCUAUAGCUAGCGUUUCUAAUACAAUAUUAAAUAGUAACGGUGAUAGUGGGCAACCUUGUUUCACUCAGAUCUUAUUGGGAAUGGUUUGCAGUUUGUCUCCAUUACAUAUGAUGCUUACUGAUGGUUUUAAAUAGAUGCUGCUGAUUAUUUUAAGGAAAAGUCCAUUUAUUCCUAUACUCUCAAGUGUUUUUAAUAGGAAUGGAUGUUGGAUUUUAUCAAAUGCUUUUUCUGCAUCUAUUGAUUGAGAUGAUCAUAUGGUUUUUGUUAAUUUGGUUAUUAACAUGGCCAAUUAUAUUGAUACUUUUCCUAAUAUUGAACCAGCCCUGCAUUCCUGGUAUAAAUCCUACUUGAUCACAGUGUAUUAUCUUGGAGAUGAUUUUCUGUAGUCUUUUUGCUAAUAUCUUAUUUAAGAUUUUAGCAUCAAUAUUCAUUAGGGAGAUUGGUCUAUAAUUUUCUUUCUCUGUUUUCAGCCUACCUGGUUUAGGUAUCAGUACCAUGUCUGUGUCAUAGAAGGAAUUUGGUAGGACUCCUUCAUUCCCAUUUUAUCAAAUAAUUUAUAUAGCAUUGGGGCCAAUUGUUCUUUAAAUGUUUGGUAAAAUUCACAUGUAAAUCCAUCUGGUCCUGGGGAUUUUUUCUUAGGAAGUUGUUUAAUUGCCUGUUCUAUUUCUUUUUCUGAAAUGGGACUAUUCAAGCAAUUUACUUCCUCCUCUGUUAGUCUGUGAAGUCUAUAUUUUUGGAGGUAGUCAUCCAUUUCCCUUAGGUUAUCAAAUUUAUUGGCAUAAAGUUGAGCAAAAUAACUCCUUAUUAUUUCUCUAAUUUCCUCUUCAUUGGUGGAAGUUCUCCCUUUUCAUUUUUAAGACUACUAAUUUCAUUUUCCUCUCUCCUUUUUCUAAUCAGAUUUACCAAAGGCUUAUCUAUUUUAUUGGCUUUUUCAUAGAACCAACUCUUAGUUUUAUUAAUUAGUUCAAUAGUUUUUUUACUUUCAAUAUUUUUAAUUUCUCCUUUUAAUUUUAGAAUUUCCAAUUUAGUAUUUGAUUGGGGGUUUUAAUUUGGUCUUUUUUUAGUUUUUUUAGUUGCAAGCCUAAUUCAUUAAUCUUUUCUUUCUCUGUUUUAUUCAAGUAAGCCUCUAAGGAUAUAAAAUUCCACCUUAUUACCACUUUGGCUGCAUCCCACAAAUUUUGGUAUGAUGUCUCAUCAUUGUCAUUAUCUUGAGUGAAAUUAUUAAUUGUAUCUAUAAUUUGCUGCUUCACCCAAUCAUUCUUUAAGAUGAGAUUGUUUAGUUUCCAAUUACUUUUGGUCUAUUUCCCCUAAUUUUUUGUUGAAUGUAGUUUUUAUUGCAUCAUGAUCUGAAAGAAAGCAUUUACUAUUUCUGCUUUCUUGCAUUUAAUUUUGAGGUCUUUAUGUCCUAAUAUAUGGUCAAUUUUUGAAUAGGUUCCAUGAACUGCUGAGAAGAAAGUAUAUUCCUUUCUAUCUCCAUUCAAUUUUCUCCAAAGAUCCAACAUACCUAAUUUUUCUAAUAUUCUAUUUACUUCUUUAAUUUCUUUCUUAUUUGUUUUGUGGUUUGAUUUGUCUAAUUCUGA
ensembl:lncRNA